CGACGGCGGCAUGAUCGGGAACAUCCAUCCACAGGAUUUGCGCCGCGCCGAUCAGCAAUGCGCUCUGCGCGCGCGGCGCGUCGCUCGGAAUGCCGCGAUCCAGCAGCCGUGACAGGAUGUNAUGUGGCCGAGCGUGCCGAGCCGCCGCAGAAUCGUUGCAACCAGCCGGCGCAUCAGCGCGCGAUCGCGAUCCGCCAGCGUCUUCAGUCCGGGAUGCGCGCCGGGACCGUCGAGCUGA
rnacentral:misc_RNA from 1 species